UGACUCUCUGAUUCUGAAAGUGGUGCUUAGAGGGUCCUCAAUACAAGCAUGGGAAAUUCUGCACUUGAUCUAGAGGCCUCAGAAGCCUCCAGGGGCCCAUUCCAGCUCUGAACUUGAAAAUGCAUUUGUUAAAAGGAGCCAAAUUGGGAUGAAAUGACUAAGGAAGGUGCCCUUUUGCAGAGCUGUGGAUGGAAAUGUCUUCCAGAUCAGGACGAGGUGCUCUAUUUUCCAGAUUGGUCCCUAGAAGCUUCUUGAUUCUCAGGAUUGUCUUGGUCUGCUGAUCUCAGAGUUAUUUUCACCAAGACUCUGGACCACCGUGAACUCUCAGUGGCCGGUCCCACUCGCUGAUGGGGAAAGAGAAGAAUUCCCCUGUCACCUGGUUAGGAGCCUUUCCCAACUGGGUGAAGAUGUUUCCAAAAUAUUUCUAUGGUAAUUGAUGGAGUUAUUAAGAUUUAUUGAGUAAAUAACGCUCCCAUUCAAAAGAAGCUCAGGCUGAAAGCACAUCUAACUUCCAUAGGUGGGCUUCCUUGUUGCGCAUCAGAAACCCUACCAAUUCCCAUGGUCUCCAUCACAGACUCUGGGACCACCACACUGUCUCGUGGGUAAAGUGACUUCCCUCAUGGCGGAGGCCUCAGAGAGGAGAUGGACGGGGCAGUGGGCUGAGUGGCUUGCUCAGUCUCAGUGUGGAGACAUCCGUCCCAACCCAGGCCAUGCUGGGCUCUGCAUUUCUCCCAGCAUCCCCUUUGAUAGCUGGAUGUCUUGGGGCACAAAGCAGGGUGCUACUCCCUCCUCCAGCAUCUGACCCACACCCACGGGCAUAGCUCUACUUUCGUGAAACAAAUAAACACAAAUCAUCAUCACAAGUCUUGACAUAACUAUUUGAGAGCGUGUGGUGGGAUGAUACAUGUUUUUGCUCCUGGUGUUCCCACCUUGCCCCCUCCUCCAUUCUGCCAGCUGUGCAUCCCCAAGGCGAUGAGUCAACAGAAACUCAGAAGACAGACUGUCAGCUCUCGGCUCUGGAGUUUCAAAACCUUUGGCCUCAGGGGGAUGAGAGGGACUGAGGCAUAAAUAAUGGAUGUGGGAGGAGAGUCGGGGAAGAGGGAAACUUCUGCACCUGCAGAUGGAAAGGAUUCCCCUGGCUGGGGGAAAGGAGAGAGAUGGAGGGGAGGCAGGGCCACGUGGGCACAAGCGGACUCAGCUUCCAGAACCACCCGGCUCCCCGUGGAGGGAGCUCUUCUGUCAUCGGCCAGGGGUGCCAAGGGAGCUCAGUCAGCACCUUCACAUCUGCAGUCUCUUCUUGUGGUCACUGCACACCAUCCCCACAGGAGCUACGUGGGUGUCCUUCCUGUGGAUGGCAGGUGAGGACCUCCUUUUGGGGUGGCCAGCACACUGGCCCAGAGGGGCACCUCCAAUAGUGUCUGAGGGCUUGCCUGUCGCCUAGUGUUUAUCCUAUGUGGAUGCUCCCAUUUCAGUGUCUCAGGACAUGUGUAAACUGUAGGGGUGGGUUAGGGCCCUGGACACCUGCAGGGGUAGAAGUGAUGGAGGAGACAAAGCCGCUCAUCACUCCUGCCCCAUUGGAACUGGCUGAGGUGCACCUGCUGAGGUGGGGCAGGGUGACCCCAUGGCUCUUAGAAGCUCUUUAGCUACAGAAGCUCACAGCGUGUGGAGGGAGGGACGAGAUGGGCUGUGGGCUCAUGCACGUCCCUUAGUUCCAGCUGUAACUCCACUUUUUCUGUUACUGUUUGGAAAUCCUAACUGGGUGAACUGUGAGAGAGAAGCCAUUUCUUCCUUCCUCCCUUGCGGAAGCUCUGGGGACCUGGUCUGUUUUCUCAGCUCUGCCACUUCUCCCCGGGGACUCUCCUCCCCAGCCAGGCUGCCCAAGGGGUGGAGCCUCCCACCAGCCCCUGCCCUGCGCAGCUCCCCACCCCCCACGCAAGUUCACAGCCUUUCCAUUUAAAGAGUUCAUUGCUGCAGGAAACAGAUGGGAGUAACAAAAAUAAUAAACAGUGAGAAUUUCAAAGGUUCCGGAAGCUUCGAGUCAUGGUCUCAGGCCUGUAGUUAAAGACUUCCUUCUGAGAUGGGUCCUGAAAAUGACUGCAGCCAUGGUCACUUGAGCUCCUGGCAUGGCCAGGCAGGUACUGGCAGCAUUGCAGGCUGCCAGCCGCUGGACUGGUCUGGAAUGUCACGGUGGUCCUGCAGAGGGACGGUGUCGUUCCUGCCAUUUCACACAUGUGAAAAUUGAGCUCAGAGAGCAGGAUUUGGCCACGUGAUUUACAGGGCCCACUGCAAAAUGAAAAUGCAGUGCUCUUGUUCAAAAAUUAUUAAGAAUUUCAAGACGAUGACAGCAGAGCGUUAAACCGAGCACGAGCCCUUCGGAUCGCGGGGCCCUGUGUGACCGCGUGGGACAGGGGUUGUGGCAGAGCCAUUAGACAGCUUACCCAAGGACACCAACCAGUGAGAGGCAAACCCAGGUUUCUCUGCAAGGUCGAGCACAGCCUGAAACUGAAUUUUGCCGUCUCCUGUUUACCUGCCGGCAUCUCCACUGCCUCCUUCCCACCCACCACAGCUCCUGGAGGCUUGGCUGUGACCCUUAUUUCUAUGCCUUAAAAAGAACAGUGAAAAGCAGAGCAUGACUUGAAGACACGGACACUACACAAAUCCUGGUGUUGUUCCGAGAAGCCCUUUGGCUUGUGCUAAAACGGGAGCCGAAGACACGAUUGGGCAUUGCCCCAUCGCUAGCCUUCGCCAUUCAAUUAACUUGACAAGGAAACAUUUUUGAGACAGAUGAUUCUCAUUUUCAAUGCCGUUUGAAAGUCCCUGGGGGCAGGAAGAAUAGUCAAGCUUACUCACUUCAGGAAGUGGUGUCUUCACUUGGAUUUAUGUGGACUUUAUUUUAAGGGACCGCAGCGGGCUCAGCCCACGUAGAUGCGCCUCCCUGGUGGGACGAG
ensembl:lncRNA